rnacentral:rRNA from 1 species
GAUGAACGCUGGCGGCGUGCCUAAUACAUGCAAGUCGAGCGAACAGACGAGGAGCUUGCUCCUCUGACGUUAGCGGCGGACGGGUGAGUAACACGUGGAUAACCUACCUAUAAGACUGGGAUAACUUCGGGAAACCGGUGCUAAUACUGGAUAAUAUAUUGAACCGCAUGGUUCAAUAGUGCAAGAGGGUUUUCCUGUCACAUAUAGAUGGAUCCGUGCCGCAUUAGCUAGUUGGUAAGGUAACGGCUUACCAAGGAUACGAUGCGUAGCCGACCUGAGAGGGUGAUCGGCCACACUGGAACUGAGACACGGUCCAGACUCCUACGGGAGGCAGCAGUAGGGAAUAUUACGCAAUGGGCGAAAGCCUGACGGAGCAAUGCCGCGUGAGUGAUGAAGGUCUUCGGAUCGUAAAACUCUGUUAUUAGGGAAGAACAAAUGUGUAAGUAACUAUGCACGUCUUGACGGUACCUAAUCAGAAAGCCACGGCUAACUACGUG